CCUGGAUACUUUUGAGCUGUUUCUGGGCUUCAGCAGCCUGUCUGUUUGCCUGACUCAGCUGAACUUCCAUCUCAUUGAGAUCUCCCUCCAUCUUCUUCUUUAGCCUUAGAGCCUCAUUUCUGCUCCGAGUCUCUGAUUCCAGUGAGGUCUGCAGAGAAUCCACAACCCUUUGGUGGUUCCUUUUCGCCUGUUCCAUCUCCUCAUCCUUCU